AGGGUUGUGAGAAAAAAAGAGAGAUGUUCAGAGAGGGAGACAAACAUUGUUUGCAGUUUGUGCAGGUGCAUCGCCAUUGCCGACGAUUCCGAGUUCAUGUCCAAACUCACCUAUGCCGAGUUCUCUCUUUAUUUAUUUUUAUUUUCUGUUAACUCAUUUUUAGCCAAGUAUUACGGAUUAAAUCAUGUUUAGUUCUCUUCUUUUUCUUUUUAGUAUUUCAUCAUUCAUUUUUACUGAUAUUAUAUUAUAGGUUUUUCAUUAUUAUAUGAUAACAUAUACAUGGAUUAUAAUGAUGGAUUUGGGCAGCUUGGACAUUGGACAUGAACGCGGCAUCGUGGGCAAUAGCGAUACACAUGCUUCGCGUAUGCCUUGAAUCGCAAAGUUUAUUCUGUCUUAAAAAUCCUAGGACCCCUCA
rnacentral:lncRNA from 1 species